rnacentral:lncRNA from 1 species
UUAUAUUAAAAUUAUAAUAUUCAAAGGAAUGGAUAAAAAUUUAAUAUAUACAUACAGCCCUUCAUUUUAUAUUAAUCCAAUUGAAAAGAAAGGUGUAAUAGAAGUUUGUAUUUAGUCUUACUUCACUUCGCAGGUCAGUUUUAAUCAGUAACUUCACAUCCCAUAACACCUCAUCAUCACUUGAUAGGAAACAGGACAAUAUCUUAUGGAAGGUAAUACCCACCAGGCUCCAUGAAAUUGUUGCAUUCACAACCAAUUAUUUACCAUGUUUGAUUUAUAUAUGAACACUUGAUGACUUUUGUCUUUUUCUAACCCAGCUGUGUUAAACAGGAGAAGGGGGGGAUUGAUUAGAGAAAAAAAAAGGAAUUUUCAGAGGGGAUGGGGAAUUGAGAGAAUUUAAUGCAACAUUUCAACUUCUGGGAACUUUUAACCUAUGUAGUCUUGAUAAAAAAAGUCUUUUGAUACAGCUGUGGGAAGUAUUUCACAGGAACAGUAUCACUUUCUCUUCUUUCUUUGCAAAGAUAAAGGAGAGUGACAUGAGAAUCAUUUUGUAGUUGAGAAAAAACUUAACAAUAUUUUUAGUUAUGGAAAAGAUAAAAAAAACUUUUCAUGUUUGUACAUAUUUUAUGCAUGUUACAAUUAUGCAUUUACAUAUUUUUUUUUCUAGAAUUUAAAGUAGAAAAGUAUUUUUUUUAAUUCAAAUUUAGAUAAAGUGGGAUUUGUUUUGAAGAGAUUGAAAUUAAGAUUUAGGAGCAUAAAUGACUGUUCACAUCCUGUUAUGGAAGUGUCCGCUUUGCUGAAAUGGUACAUAAUGAUUUCACAUCCUGUUAUGAAAGUGUCCGCUUUGCUGAAAUGGUACAUAAUGAUUUAUUCAUAGAAGAUUUACUGGAAAUUAAAAAGUGUUCGUUACGUGAGAUUUCACUGCAUAUCUAAUCCAAAAUUUAUUCACUGUUUUAUAAAAAAUUUCAAUGCAAAAAAAGUGUGGCUAAAUUUAAACAAAAAAAUUUUUUCAAUUCCAAUAUAUUGAAUAAAUUAUGCUAAGGAUAAUAUUUAUAGAAAGAUCCAUAAGUAUUUCUCAACAGAUUUUUUAAUUUAAAAUAUAACCAAAUUCAGAAAUAAAUAAUUAUGUUUCUUUGAUGAUUAUACACAAAUAAAAGGAGGGAAGCCUCUUAACUGUUUUGUUUUCAAUGUUUAGAUGGAUAUAUAGUGAGAUCUCCUUAUAGUGAGAUCUCUUGUGUGCCUUAUAGUGAGAUCUCCGAAGCCAGAAAAGAGGCUCAACCGGAUUUAUUAACAAGCUCUGCUUUGUGUAUGUUUGAUGCUUCAGAACCAGCUUUUGUUUAAUUCAGAGCAAAGAUGAGGCCUUUAUGAGAAAAUUAUUUACGUUUUAACUUAGUUUUGUUAACAUUUAAAUUAGCUACAAAAUAGAAAAUUGACUUAUUGUCCAUUCUCAACAAAUAUAAGUUUUUUUUUUACUGAAAACCAUAAUAUAGCUUAUUUUAGUCAUUGUCAGCACCUGCAUAAGUUGAGAACAAAUUUCCAACAAAGUUCUGCUAGAAGUAGAUGCUCAAUCAUUUAGGGUUCCAUAGCUGAAAACAAUUUGGAACUGCUAUAUUAGGGGACAGUUUUUAUGUAUAUGAAAAGCUUAAUGCAAUAUAGUAAUAAGCCAUAUAUUUUUGCAUCUAACUCCAACUUACUUUCAGUACUUUACAAAUUUCUAAUAAAUAAAAGCAGAAUUAUUUCCUAUUCUGAGAGCAUGCCGUUCAACAAAAAUGUUCUGAUAAUUUUGUAAAAGUUUGUUUAUCAUUAUGAACCAAAUUGUGAUUAAUUCUAUUAUGUAAUCAAAAGUUGUUCUUUACAUUUUAUCAUGUUUCAAUGCUAACACACCAUAGUGUAUAUUAUCAAAUAUAUAUUUUGUAAAUAAAAGACUUUUUAAAAUUA